ACAGGAUGUUUUUUUUUCUCCAGAGGACUCAAACCAGGAAACACUUCAGUCCCUAAAGAAGAGACAGACAUUAAGACUUACAGAAGGUCCUGAACUUCAGCUGCUGUUGUCUACUUCUGCAAGGACAGAACAACAUCACAAUAACUGAUCAAUGACUCUCAUCAUCCCAUUCUAAACUAUUCUUGUCCCUUUUUUUUGAAGAACAUAAAUCAGCUCUGAAUCUAUCAGUCAUUAUCACGUAUUUUAUUUUGUCACAAAACGAACAUGUCCAUGUCUGCAGCUUUAUAUCAGCAAGCUGUUUAUUUUCUUGAUGCCUAUGACAUUUUUUCACUUUUUUGAUACCUUACUAUACUGUGACA